rnacentral:rRNA from 2 species
ACAUAAGUAACGAUAAAGCGGGUGAAAAGCCCGCUCGCCGGAAGACCAAGGGUUCCUGUCCAACGUUAAUCGGGGCAGGGUGAGUCGACCCCUAAGGCGAGGCCGAAAGGCGUAGUCGAUGGGAAACGGGUUAAUAUUCCCGUACUUGGUGUUACUGCGAAGGGGGGACGGAGAAGGCUAUGUUGGCCGGGCGACGGUUGUCCCGGUUUAAGCGUGUAGGUGUGUGUUCCAGGUAAAUCCGGUUCACUUUAACAC